rnacentral:rRNA from 1 species
UACAGAGGUCCCAAGCGUUGUUCGGAUUCACUGGGCGUAAAGGGUGCGUAGGUGGCGGGGUAAGUCGGAUGUGAAAUCUCCGAGCUCAACUCGGAAAUGGCAUUGGAAACUACCUUGCUUGAGGGUUGGAGGGGGGACUGGAAUACUUGGUGUAGCAGUGAAAUGCGUAGAUAUCAAGUGGAACACCAGUGGCGAAGGCGAGUCCCUGGACAACUCCUGACACUGAGGCACGAAAGCUAGGGGAGCAAACAGG